UGGGGAAUAUUGCACAAUGGGCGCAAGCCUGAUGCAGCCAUGCCGCGUGUAUGAAGAAGGCCUUCGGGUUGUAAAGUACUUUCAGCGGGGAGGAAGGGAGUAAAGUUAAUACCUUUGCUCAUUGACGUUACCCGCAGAAGAAGCACCGGCUAACUCCGUGCCAGCAGCCGCGGUAAUACGGAGGGUGCAAGCGUUAAUCGGAAUUACUGGGCGUAAAGCGCACGCAGGCGGUUUGUUAAGUCAGAUGUGAAAUCCCCGGGCUCAACCUGGGAACUUCAAUUGGUAACGGGCAGGUUGGGUGUCGGAAAGGGGGGUAGAAUUCCAGGUGUAGCGGUGAAAUGCGUAGAGAUCUGGAGGAAUACCGGUGGCGAAGGCGGCCCCCUGGACGAAGACUGACGCUCAGGUGCGAAAGCGUGGGGAGCAAACAGG
rnacentral:rRNA from 1 species